UACGUAGGGGGCAAGCGUUGUCCGGAAUCAUUGGGCGUAAGGCGAGCGUAGGCGGCCCGAUAAGUCUGCUGUAAAAGUCAACGGCUCAACCGUUGAAAGCCGGUGGAUACUGUCGGGCUAGAGUUCGGAAGAGGCAAGUGGAAUUCCUGGUGUAGCGGUGGAAUGCGCAGAUAUCAGGAGGAACACCUAUAGCGAAGGCAGCUUGCUGGGACGAUACUGACGCUAAGGCUCGAAAGCGUGGGGAGCGAACAGG
rnacentral:rRNA from 1 species